AUUAUCUUCAAAUCAUUUCAAUUGACCUGCGAACAAGUCGACGAACUCUUUUCUUAAAUUCUUGUGCUGGAAAAAGUUAGUACGAUUUGAUUAUUAAAGAGUAAAUUUUUUUGUUUGUAGGUUAGUAUAUACUCACGAUUUUCUCGAAAUUCCUUGGCAGCAUCUAUAUUGGCAGGGGACUCAUCAUUAGGGGAAGAAAGCAUGGAAAUUACACUAAUCAAUAUGGUUUCCGGAGAGUGUACCGGAAGCCAACGUUCUCCAGCAUCCUCGUAUCCAUACUUGUCAUCUCCUGGUGGGUGAAGAAUCGAUAUGCAAACUUCGCCAUUCGGAUGAACAUUAGGGUGCCAAAUUUCCGUUGUGAACUGUUACCGUUAGAAUCGUUUUUAGGCAUAGACUAUGUAGUUUCUAUCAAUUAAAAAAU